UCCUUGUUCCCUGCCGACUCUUCCUGGUUUGUUUCUCUUCCUGGUUCCCUGAGGAGUCCUUCUAGUCUCAGCUGACUCGUUGUGGUCCCAACUCUCUGCUCCUGGUUCUCUGCGGUGUCCUCCUGGUUUGUUUCUCUCCUGGGUUCCCUGCGGAGACCUCCUGGUCUCAGCUGACUGGUUGU